rnacentral:rRNA from 1 species
GACAGAGGGUGCAAACGUUGUUCGGAAUUACUGGCGGUAAAGACGCGUGUAGGCGGUCUCGCAAGUCGGAUGUGAAAGCCCAGGGCUCAACCCUGGAAGUGCACUCGAUACUGCGAGGCUAGAGUCCCGGAGAGGAUGGUGGAACUCUCGGUGUAGAGGUGAAAUUCGUAGAUAUCGAGAAGAACACCGGUGGCGAAGGCGGCCAUCUGGACGGUGACUGACGCUGAGACGCGAAAGCGUGGGGAGCAAACAGGAUAGAA